rnacentral:rRNA from 1 species
UACAGAGGUCUCAAGCGUUUGUUCGGAUUCAUUGGGCGUAAAGGGUGCGUAGGCGGCGCGGUAAGUCGGGUGUGAAAUCUCGGAGCUUAACUCCGAAACUGCAUUCGAUACUGCCGUGCUUUGAGGACUGGAGAGGAGACUGGAAUUUACGGUGUAGCGGUGAAAUGCGUAGAUAUCGUAAGGAAGACCAGUGGCGAAGGCGGGGUCUCUGGAC